CCCCUUUGAAGUAGAGAAACCAUAGUUAUCCUCUCUAUUCUGCUACCAUCGCCCAUAUACUAGAAUUGCUCUACUCUCUAUUCCGAUAUUAUCACUCACUGUUAUCUUACCUUUAAUAUUGUUCUUAUUCGAUUCUACCAUCUUUCUUAUUCACACCUAUUUACUUAUCUUGGUUAAGUUAGAGCGUAGAUCAGUUAUCCCGUUUCCCUGUGGAUACGAUAAAACCUUUAACCGGGUAAAAGCUUCAACGGUAUCCGUGCGCUUGCGGAUUAUCUGUGUGCGUAUAAAUACCAUAGUACACUCUAGUGCCACGCUGGGGAUGACAACCUAGUAUUCAAGUGCUGUUAGCAAGUGUCAACAAGCAUUUUUGGCGCCGUUGCCGGGGAAACGGUUGCUGAGUUGACUACGAACUAGUUUAAUCAUUUUAUAAAAAAAUAAUAAUAAUAAUAAAUAAAUAAAUAAAUAAAAUAUUUUCCUUUUAUCCUUUGCCUCAUCUCUGCUAUUCUUUCUUCUUAUCUAA
rnacentral:lncRNA from 1 species